GCCUAGUGGUUAGAGUGUAGAGGGGGCAGGUAGCCUAGUGGUUAGAGUGUAGAGGAGGCAGGUAGCCUAGUGGUUAGAGUGUAGAGGAGGCAGGUAGCCUAGUGGUUAGAGUGUAGAGGAGGCAGGUAGCCUAGUGGUUAGAGUGUAGAGGAGGCAGGUAGCCUAGUGGUUAGAGUGUAGAGGAGGCAGGUAGCCUAGUGGUUAGAGUGUAGAGGAGGCAGGUAGCCUAGUGGUUAGAGUGUAGAGGAGGCAGGUAGCCUAGUGGUUAGAGUGUAGAGGAGGCAGGUAGCCUAGUGGUUAGAGUGUAGAGGUGGCAGGUAGCCUAGUGGUUAGAGUGUAGAGGUGGCAGGUAGCCUAGUGGUUAGAGUGUAGAGGAGGCAGGUAGCCUAGUGGUUAGAGUGUAGGGACGGCAGGUAGCCUAGUGGUUAGAGUGUAGAGGAGGCAGGUAGCCUAGUGGUUAGAGUGUAGGGACGGCAGGUAGCCUAGUGGUUAGAGUGUAGAGGAGGCAGGUAGCCUAGUGGUUAGAGUGUAGAGGAGGCAGGUAGCCUAGUGGUUAGAGUGUAGGGACGGCAGGUAGCCUAGUGGUUAGAGUGUAGAGGAGGCAGGUAGCCUAGUGGUUAGAGUGUAGAGGAGGCAGGUAGCCUAGUGGUUAGAGUGUAGAGGAGGCAGGUAGCCUAGUGGUUAGAGUGUAGAGGAGGCAGGUAGCCUAGUGGUUAGAGUGUAGAGGAGGCAGGUAGCCUAGUGGUUAGAGUGUAGAGGAGGCAGGUAGCCUAGUGGUUAGAGUGUAGAGGAGGCAGGUAGUCUAGUGGUUAGAGUGUAGAGGAGGCAGGUAGUCUAGUGGUUAGAGUGUAGAGGAGGCAGGUAGCCUAGUGGUUAGAGUGUAGAGGAGGCAGGUAGCCUAGUGGUUAGAGUGUAGAGGAGGCAGGUAGCCUAGUGGUUAGAGUGUAGAGGAGGCAGGUAGCCUAGUGGUUAGAGUGUAGAGGAGGCAGGUAGCCUAGUGGUUAGAGUGUAGAGGAGGCAGGUAGCCUAGUGGUUAGAGUGUAGAGGAGGCAGGUAGCCUAGUGGUUAGAGUGUAGAGGAGGCAGGUAGCCUAGUGGUUAGAGUGUAGAGGAGGCAGGUAGCCUAGUGGUUAGAGUGUAGAGGAGGCAGGUAGUCUAGUGGUUAGAGUGUAGAGGAGGCAGGUAGCCUAGUGGUUAGAGUGUAGAGGAGGCAGGUAGCCUAGUGGUUAGAGUGUAGAGGAGGCAGGUAGCCUAGUGGUUAGAGUGUAGAGGUGGCAGGUAGCCUAGUGGUUAGAGUGUAGAGGUGGCAGGUAGCCUAGUGGUUAGAGUGUAGAGGUGGCAGGUAGCCUAGUGGUUAGAGUGUAGAGGAGGCAGGUAGCCUAGUGGUUAGAGUGUAGAGGUGGCAGGUAGCCUAGUGGUUAGAGUGUAGAGGUGGCAGGUAGCCUAGUGGUUAGAGUGUAGAGGUGGCAGGUAGCCUAGUGGUUAGAGUGUAGAGGAGGCAGGUAGCCUAGUGGUUAGAGUGUAGAGGAGGCAGGUAGUCUAGUGGUUAGAGUGUAGAGGAGGCAGGUAGCCUAGUGGUUAGAGUGUAGAGGUGGCAGGUAGCCUAGUGGUUAGAGUGUAGAGGAGGCAGGUAGCCUAGUGGUUAGAGUGUAGAGGAGGCAGGUAGCCUAGUGGUUAGAGUGUAGAGGAGGCAGGUAGCCUAGUGGUUAGAGUGUAGAGGAGGCAGGUAGCCUAGUGGUUGGAGUGUAGAGGAGGCAGGUAGUCUAGUGGUUAGAGUGUAGAGGUGGCAGGUAGCCUAGUGGUUAGAGUGUAGAGGAGGCAGGUAGCCUAGUGGUUAGAGUGUAGAGGUGGCAGGUAGUCUAGUGGUUAGAGUG